GACGAACGCUGGCGGCGUGCUUAACACAUGCAAGUCGAACGGAAAGGCCCUGCUUUUGUGGGGUGCUCGAGUGGCGAACGGGUGAGUAACACGUGAGUAACCUGCCCUUGACUUUGGGAUAACUUCAGGAAACUGGGGCUAAUACCGGAUAGGAGCUCCUGCUGCAUGGGGGGGGUUGGAAAGUUUCGGCGGUUGGGGAUGGACUCGCGGCUUAUCAGCUUGUUGGUGGGGUAGUGGCUUACCAAGGCUUUGACGGGUAGCCGGCCUGAGAGGGUGACCGGCCACAUUGGGACUGAGAUACGGCCCAGACUCCUACGGGAGGCAACAGUGGGGAAUAUUGCACAAUGGGCGGAAGCCUGAUGCAGCAACGCCGCGUGCGGGAUGACGGCCUUCGGGUUGUAAACCGCUUUCGCCUGUGACGAAGCGUGAGUGACGGUAAUGGGUAAAGAAGCACCGGCUAACUACGUG
rnacentral:rRNA from 1 species